UACGGAGGGUGCAAGCGUUAUCCGGAUUCACUGGGCUUAAAGGGUGUGUAGGCGGGUAUUUAAGUCAGUGGUGAAAUCUUCAGGCUCAACCUGGAAACUGCCAUUGAUACUAUUUAUCUUGAAUUCUGUUGAGGUGGGCGGAAUAUAUCAUGUAGCGGUGAAAUGCUUAGAUAUGAUAUAGAACACCGAUUGCGAAGGCAGCUCACUAAACAGACAUUGACGCUGAGGCACGAAAGCGUGGGGAUCAAACAGG
rnacentral:rRNA from 1 species